GUAUCCGGUUUUGUUCACCCAAAUUAACUGAGCUAAUUGUGUUUCUUGUGCGCAUAUAAACCAGUCCUCUAAUUACUGACAGAACUGUAGGGCUGCACCUUCGAUGUUACGCAUUUAAGCCUAAUAUGAGCGAAACAAAGUCCAAUUGAAAUUCAUUCAUUCAUUAAAAACGAUCAUUCAUCGAAGUAAUUAACAUCCCCGAUGAUAAACACGGGAACAAUACUCUAAUCAGCGGCCGGUCUGAGUUUGACUCCCCUCGGUGCUCCGCGUGAACGCGCGCAGCGGGCCUGCUGGGCCGUGUGUGGCCAUGGCAACAGGGCGCGCCUAAUUAACGGCGGAAGCCUUCACUUCUCUUCUCCCCGUCGGUGUUUCAGCACGGGGCUAAGAUUGGCGCUGGCCCCGGGGUUUGUGGGAACCGGGACAGCCCUUUCACGAAAGCCCUCCUCAGGUCGACAUUAUUACACGGUUAAUUAAGUCGGUUCAACGGGCGCGAGCUCGAGCAAACAGCAGGGGCGAUUGUUUUCCGCUGCCCUCCCCAACUAGCUUGCUAAUUACUCCGUGGACUGCCCCUAACCUGGAUGCAUUCUGAAGGGCUCAGCUGACCCCGUAAUUAAAGCUUGAACCUCCCCAAAAGGAAGUCAGCAAGAAAGGCCCUGAGGUGACCAACUUAAAACAGGUGACUCGUUUUGGAAGCAAAACAAACACAAGAAGGGGAUUUGGGCUGGAGGCAGCUGUGGAUCCUGCACGCUCAGCUGGUGACGCACAAAGAAACAGGUGACGGCGACGGGAUGUUUGCCCUGCAAGGGUGCCGCCACGUGCUUCUUUCCCCUGGAACGAGCUCUCCCAGUAAAAUCUGCACCUGGCCUGGUGGUCUUGGCAACAUCGGACAACCUCUAGCAGAUGUUCUCCUCUCUUUUGUCGAUGACUUCGCGGUGGCUGCUCUGCAAGACAAAACUGCGGAUCAUCUCAUGGCUUCCUCUGCUGCAGAGAUCAUUAAUGAUGAUGAGGCUUUACUCCGUCACUGGAUCCGGGGUGAAAGUUGCCCUUUGGCUGUGUGACAGACAGGAAGAAAGGGACGCUCAGGCUAGUGUGAAGGUAUAGUGAAUUAAAGAAACAAUACAAGGCUUUUACUGCAGAGGGUCACUGAUAUGCACACACAAACCUGUUUAGGGAUAUCUGGAGUGCGUAUUCAUAGACAAAGCGUAGUACAUGCCAGAAAAAUAUCAUUUACGGAAUCAGUUAAUAAAGAUGGACUGAUAUGUUG